rnacentral:rRNA from 1 species
UACGUAGGCAGCAAGCGUUGUUCGGAAUUACUGGGCGUAAAGCGCACGUAGGCGGCUUACUAAGUCAGGGGUGAAAUCCUGGAGCUCAACUCCAGAACUGCCUUUGAUACUGGUGAGCUUGAGUCCGGAAGAGGUGAGUGGAACUGCGAGUGUAGAGGUGAAAUUCGUAGAUAUUCGCAAGAACACCAGUGGCGAAGGCGGCUCACUGGUCCGGUACUGACGCUGAGGUGCGAAAGCGUGGGGAGCAAACAGG